CCUGUCAGAAAGCAUGACAAAAAUAAUACUCUUAAUUGUGUUUUUUCCUGGUCUCUGCAAGAAUCAAAUCAGCCUAGAACACUGGCUUUCAACCUCUGUGGUCCACAGACCCCUGGGUACCCACAGAACACUUCUAAGAGGUCCACGAAAGAUGACUGUGAUCUGUCAGAAGUAUGUAAAUAACCCCACUUACAAUUCAAAGGGGUCUGCACCUCCAUUCAAAAUUUCCAAAAGGGUCUGCACUCCAUUUGACAUUUUUUAGGGGUCCACAAAUGAAUGCAGGUUGAAAAUCACUGGCCUAGAACACGUACAGACACCUGUCAAGAUGCAGGGAAUGAGGGGCAUUGGCAUAAUAUAGUAAGAUUAAGAUUUUACCCUCAUCCUCAUUCACCUGCCCCUUCUUUUUUUAAGUUUGCUGGAACCAUGCCACACUAGAGAUCAUUUCUUCCUGUUGCGUUCCUCCAGCAUGAACUCUGUUGGUGACAUUGUACCUACUGUAGAACAUCAGAGAGGAGUUUAGACAAGAAUGGACUUUUACCCCUAAAUGUCAGGUUUGUAAAUGUUAUAAGUGUAGAUAGUGAAUGUAGUCCAGACUCAUGACCUGACUCCUAAAUUAAGUUGCAUCCCUUCAACCUACAUGAAUUUAAAUACAGCAGUUUUCUGGUGCUCCAUUACAGAGAAGUAACACAUAUAACCACUGGUGCAGCACAGCGUAACCUAAGCUUUUAAUUCUUUGGGGACUGAUCUUUGUGGUCCAAGCAGGCCUCUUCCAAUGCUAUUUACUAUGUUUGGGGGGGACCCAACUUAUUGUACACCCCAAAAGCAACACAGACAAAAGCACUUGCCUCUUCCAUCCCUGACACCAAACAAUGGCAGAGCAGGGAAAAGCCCUGAGCUAAUACAGGUCUGUUCCAUGCAAAGCAAUGGUGACAGGGGACUCCCAACCAGUGCAUAUAUUCUGUGUAAGGGCUUUGAGUCCAGCAGACACUCUGGGACUCCAUGUCCCCUUAGCCUCCCAAAUGACCUGUGAUCCCCACCACCAAGUCACUUAAGAAUGCAAGUUACUCGGAAGGAAUAAGUUAAAAUGAAGCAGCUUCCUAGGAAUGAAUCAUGCCCUUCCCUUCAAUCCCUGAUGGGAUGAGCCCAAGGAUAAAUAAACUGAAUGUCCCCACUCAUGUAUAGAAGUGGGCAGCAUCAGCUGUGGGUAGUUAGGCAUUCUAGCUCCUGCUGACUGAAGAAUGAAGACCCAAGCUCUUCCACAAGGAUCAAGUCCUUUGCUUCUCAAACCACUUACCAGAAGAGGAGGAGCCCCAAGAUGCUAUGAAUAGAUUCUAUGAAUCUAUGCUGAAAAAUCAGCCUAUCCCCUACCAGAGGUCAAGUUGCUACAAAAAGACAUUAACUGUGUCAGGAAUAAAAAGACAUCACAUCAUGAGACUACAACAGAACAUCAGAGAAACAUGAAAAUGUAAUCUGGAAAAGGGUCUCCAAAUCCUACACCAAUUGCCCAGAUCCUUGGAAAGGGGAACCUUCCACUCAAGCUCAAGAAAAAACUGUUGUCACUCCAAACACAACUGCAAUAAUGUCUAGGAGAGUUGUACCAAGAGCUAAAACCCAACCUGAAAACUGGUAAUAGGAGAGCUGGAAUAGCUGCUCAGGUGCCAGUUGCUAGGACGACCAGAGGGAGCCAGUGUCCCACACCUGCUAGCGGUCAGCUGACCAGAAGGGGAGGGCCUGGCUCCCAUUUAAACACUAGGACUGAAGACAAGGGGGCAGUUCCCUGUCAGCAGCCAGGAGCUCUCUGUUGUGGGAGAAAGGAGAAGCUGGAUGCAGGAGCAGCAUCUGACACGGCUGCAAGAUGAAGAAUCCCUGGUAGGCUUGAAUGUUAUGGCCAAGCGGCUUCUGUGUAUGUUAUAGCCAAGGGCUUGCAUUUUGGUUUACUGUUUGUCACCGGUGGUUUGGGUGAGGCUAUUAGGGGUUGGAGGAGGCCUCAUAGGGGACCCACAGCAGUGUGGGAACCCCAGCGCCAGUGAAGGUGCGGCAUUUGGGGUGCACUGACCCCAGCCCCAGAGAGGGGCAGUUGAGAAGGCCCAGAGAAGGGGGCAGCAUUGCCUCAAGACAAUAGAAAAGGCUAGAGCCUCGGAGUCAAACCCUGUUUGGUGGGUUUAGACAGGGAGGCCUAGCUAGAGAAAACCAGGGGACAGUCUCACAUAGGGGAAAGGCCCCAAUAUACCCAAUAUAACAGGCAGCCUCCCACUCGCAAGAACAUCAUCAUAAUUUCCAUCAAGACGUGGCAGUAAGGUUGAGCAGAACUCCACAGGCGGAAAAGCAUACAUCUUGAUGUUUGGCAUCGAGCAAAGCAAUCAUGAACUUGUAGACUGGAUUGUACAGCAGGAAACAAAAUUACCCCCAAGAAGAUGGACUUGUAUUGCAAAGGGUAUUAUACAAAUGGAACAAUACACUUAUUAAAUUCAUAUGCUCAGAGAAGGAGCCAGAACCACCUGAAAAUGUUACCAGAUACCAUGUUAGCACAACGUUGCCAGAACUGCCUAAGGCAGGGGUGGGCAUUAUUUCAGCUGGCAGGCCACUUAACGAGUUUUGAUGAGCUGUCGAGGGCCACACACAAAAUCUUUCAGAAGAUAUCAUUUUAACAAAUUACAGAUAAAAAAAAUCGUAUAUUAAAAAUCAAAUCUCUAUAUUUUAAUUUUAUUUUAAAAUAUAUUUGUGUCCUGAUUUAUGUUUUUUUGAGUAGUGUAUAUAGAGAUGAUUGAAUAAUAGCUCAAAAUAAAGUCUUACUCUUGUAUAUUGUGUGUUUAGGGUGCGGGGUGGUGUGUGAGGGGCUGCCUGUGUGCUAGGUGACAGGAGCUGGCCAGGGUGGUGGAGGGAAGAGGCGGCAGGGGGCACGUGCAGCAGAACUCACCCAGGUGGUACAGUGCAGGUGUGGCCUGCCCUCUUCCCCACAUCCCCCAUCCAAGUCAUGGCUGCCCUCCAUGGUGCACUGCAUGGGGCUGAGCCCCACCCACUCCCACCUGGGGCAGCCCGCAUUGUGCGUCUGCCCACACCCACCAAUCAUACUGGCCAGCAUGCACAACUUGCCAGUGGAGUUGCCAUCUACCCACUCAGCUGCCAAAAGGUAGUGUAAAUACAGCAACAAAUAUGCUUAUCUCACCAGGCAGGCAAAGUGGAUGGAAGGCAGCCAGGAGCUGUAGCUGUAACCCUGCAUGCUGGGGCAGCUUCCUCCCUGCCUGCUGCUGCUUCCCUGCGCUAUCCAGUGCCUGGAACCGCGCAGCAGGGGCAGGAGAAGGAGAGGAGGAGAAGCUGCCACUUUUCAAACUCAGAUGACUAAAAUAAAGUUAACUUAAAACAUCUUUGGGCACCUAUCCAAAUUGAAGCGGCAGCUAGGCAAUUUCAUGGGCCAAUACUGGUGCUCACUGCUAUUUUCAUGGGUUUAUCACAGUGCCCGCCCUCCCCCAAGCCACUGAUUUGCUGAGGGGCCCAGCUGCCCUGCCUCUUGCCACCAAUUGGUAGAGGGCUGCCCUUCACAUGGCCCUGCCACUUGUUGCUGAUUGGUGGAGGCAGUGGGGUGUAUGAAAGGCAACCCUCAGCCAAUCAGCAGUGGAGGAAGCGGCUGCCAUCUUGGCUGCUCCCCUUUGUCCUAGCAGAUUCCCCCCAUAGUGGGCUGCGAGGCCAGGCCACAGCAGCCACUGGCUCCCACUCGGGAGCUAGCAUUUUAUUUUUAGUAAGGUUUUUUUUCUGGCAACUGCAUACAAAAUUGUGGAAACUGCUGUUUUUUGCAGUAUUCAUAGAAACCGCCGUUUUUCGUGGUUUCCAUGAAAAUGUGAUUUGAGUAGGUCCCUACACGUAAGUAUAUGAGUUCAGAGGUACUGAACUCCCCCUUUACCUCAGUUUGAGCUAAAGGUCCUUGCUGCUUCUGAAAAAAAAAAUCAAAACACCUAUAUAGAUGCCUAAAAAUAGGUACCACAUUUGAAAAUACUGGUUUAACCCUCAGCAGGAACUAGAACUUUGAACACUUCAAGACAGAGCUCGAAAGGAGAGCGAUGUUGUCAGGGGUGGAUCUGGGUGGAGGAGGGUAGCAGCAGUGUUACAGUGGCACCCCACUUUGAUUCCUGUUCCACUCAAACUUUAAAAACCAACUGCCUGGGAGAGGCAGCAGCAUUUCAAUUCAGGCAGUGAUGAGGGAGUCAAUUGUUUCUAUGCCUCAUUUUAAUGCAUCUGAUUCCUGUUAAUCUCUCUCCACUCCAGAGUGGUUAAUGAACCCACCUCUCUCUUUUUUAAUGAUUUUGAUGUUCCAUUAAUCAAGCUAUCCUUUCUUCUGCAAUUUUGCUGUCUGUUAGUUAUUAUUGGUUAGUUAUCCCUGCAGACUGUUUAAUUCAAGCUAAAAACCUUUACUCAAGUGUGGAAAUGACUGACAGUGAAGUGUUGGAAAUACUGUCAAGAUACUCAAGAAGGCUAGGUAUUGUAUUAUGAAUCUUAUUAAGAGAUGUACAUUUAACAAUAAUGACCACAUGACCAAUAAAACAAUAUUUUAUACUA